rnacentral:rRNA from 1 species
GACGAACCGUGCGAACGUUAUUCGGAAUCACUGGGCUUAAAGCGCGUGUAGGCGGGCCGCCACGUCGGGCGCUGAAAUCCCCCGGCUUAACCUGGGAACUGCGUCUGAUACUGGGAGGCUUGAGUAUGGGAGAGGGAUGUAGAAUUCCAGGUGUAGCGGUGAAAUGCGUAGAUAUCUGGAGGAAUACCGGUGGCGAAGGCGGCAUCCUGGACCAUUACUGACGCUGAGGCGCGAAGGCUAGGGGAGCAAACGGG